rnacentral:rRNA from 1 species
GACGAACGCUGGCGGCGUGCUUAACACAUGCAAGUCGAACGGAAAGGCCCUGCUUUUGUGGGGUGCUCGAGUGGCGAACGGGUGAGUAACACGUGAGUAACCUGCCCUUGACUUUGGGAUAACUUCAGGAAACUGGGGCUAAUACCGGAUAGGAGCUCCUGCUGCAUGGUGGGGGUUGGAAAGUUUCGGCGGUUGGGGAUGGACUCGCGGCUUAUCGGCUUGUUGGUGGGGUAGUGGCUUACCAAGGCUUUGACGGGUAGCCGGCCUGAGAGGGUGACCGGCCACAUUGGGACUGAGCUACGGCCCAGACUCCUACGGGAGGCAGCAGUGGGGAAUAUUGCACAACGGGCGGAAGCAUGAUGCAGCAACGCCGCGUGCGGGAUGACGGCCUUCGGGUUGUAAACCGCUUUCGCCUGUGACGAAGCGUGAGUGACGGUAAUGGGUAAAGAAGCACCGGCUAACUACGUG